rnacentral:rRNA from 1 species
GGAUUAGAAACCCGGGUAGUCCACGCCCUAAACGAUGUCAACUGGUUGUUGGGGAUUCAUUUCCUUGGUAACGAAGCUAACGCGUGAAGUUGACCGCCUGGGGAGUACGGUCGCAAGAUUAAAACUCAAAGGAAUUGACGGGGACCCGCACAAGCGGUGGAUGAUGUGGAUUAAUUCGAUGCAACGCGAAAAACCUUACCUACCCUUGACAUGUACGGAAUCCUGCUGAGAGGCGGGAGUGCCCGAAAGGGAGCCGUAACACAGGUGCUGCAUGGCUGUCGUCAGCUCGUGUCGUGAGAUGUUGGGUUAAGUCCCGCAACGAGCGCAACCCUUGUCCCUAGUUGCUACGCAAGAGCACUCCAGGGAGACUGCCGGUGACAAACCGGAGGAAGGU